AAUAGAUACCCGGUAGUCCACGCCGUAAACGAUGAGUGCUAAGUGUUAGAGGGUUUCCGCCCUUUAGUGCUGCAGCUAACGCAUUAAGCACUCCGCCUGGGGAGUACGGCCGCAAGGCUGAAACUCAAAGGAAUUGACGGGGGCCCGCACAAGCGGUGGAGCAUGUGGUUUAAUUCGAAGCAACGCGAAGAACCUUACCAGGUCCUGACAUCCUCUGCCAACCCUAGAGAUAGGGCGUUCCCCUUCGGGGGACAGAGUGACAGGUGGUGCAUGGUUGUCGUCAGCUCGUGUCGUGAGAUGUUGGGUUAAGUCCCGCAACGAGCGCAACCCUUGAUCUUAGUUGCCAGCAUUCAGUUGGGCACUCUAAGGUGACUGCCGGUGACAAACCGGAGGAAGGUGGGGAUGACGUCAAAUCAUCAUGCCCCUUAUGACCUGGGCUACACACGUGCUACAAUGGAUGGUACAAAGAGCUGCGAACCCGCGAGGGUAAGCGAAUCUCAUAAAGCCAUUCUCAGUUCGGAUUGUAGG
rnacentral:rRNA from 1 species